rnacentral:rRNA from 1 species
GACGAACGCUGGCGGCGUGCUUAACACAUGCAAGUCGAGCGGUAAGGCCCCUCCGGGGGCACACGAGCGGCGAACGGGUGAGUAACACGUGAGCAACCUGCCCCUGACUCCGGGAUAAGCGGCGGAAACGCCGUCUAAUACCGGAUACGACCCUCCGGCUCAUGCCGUGGGGGUGGAAAGUGUCUUCGGUUGGGGAUGGGCUCGCGGCCUAUCAGCUUGUUGGUGGGGUAAGGGCCUGCCAGGGCGAUUACGGGUAGCCGUCCUGAGAGGGCGACCGGCCACACUGGGACUGAGACACGGCCCAGACUCCUGCGGGAGGCAGCAGUGGGGAAUCUUGCGCAAUGGGCGAAAGCCUGACGCAGCGACGCCGCGUGGGGGAUGACGGCCUUCGGGUUGUAAACUCCUUUUACCACUCACGCAGGCUCCCAGUUUUCUGGGGGUUGACGGUAGGUGGGGAAUAAGGACCGGCUAACUACGUGCCAGCCGCCGCAGUAAAAC